AUCUAAAGACGCGGCUGAAGAUGUUCCAAUAUGAUGGCGUAUCUGACUCGAAGUCAAAACUCAAAAUGAUCCGUAAACGAAACAUGGGUAGGGCUAAGCAAGCCACUGCUCUUGCCAUUUGCCAUACAUUAUGCAUUAAUUCAGUGUUUGACCAAAAGGUGAUUCCUUUUCUCCUGUUAAAGCAUAGGCAAUCUCCUCCAAAACUUUAGUUCCCAAAUCCGCACCCAAAACACUCUGUGGAAUAUCCCCGUUACAAGUUACAUUCAACCUCUUCUUUUCUGUUUCUUUCUUGCUUACCUUUGAAACUUCCAUAUCAUAUUCCUAGCCAUUACUCAUUGCCCAUAUCAUAUUAUUGUAGCUUAGCUUCAUUACCAGCACAAUAAUCUCUCUUCAAUACACAAUGUAUCCAAAGGUUAAGGUUAGAACAGAAGGCCAAGACGAUCAACAUGCUCAUGCUGCGCAUGAAUAUAAUUGGAAUUCCUUGCUUUCUUUGAAGGAUAUUCAGUUUCUCUUACUGCAGGAUUCUUAUUUUCCUGGUACUUCUAGCUCUUGUCUAUUCUAUGCCAGUCUGCCUUUAUUUUCAAUUCUUCUAGAUUUAUAUUUAUUUGCUAUUUAGGUUAAAACUGGAAUCUGUGUUGUUUUAAAAUAGCUGUUUUGGAUUGAUUGAACCAUACUGUGUAAUUCUAAUGUUUCUGAUACUUAUCUGCUAAGUCUUUGUGGUUCAAAUCAUAUGAUCCCCAAAUUUGUUUUCAUGAGAAUUAUGAUUCUAUCAGCUUUUGUUGCCUAUUUAAUAUUAGACUGAGAUUCUCCCUUUUGGUACUAUGGGAAUGGCAUUUUCUCUUUAGAAUUCCCAGCUAUUCUUGCUAAUAACACGCAUGUCACAGCCAGUAAUUUGUGGUUGGGGUUGAGGGGGAAUCUUAUCAUUGUUUGACAAGGAGUAUUUUAUGUAACAGAAGUGAUCGUUUGCUGGGUGAUGGAUGAAUUGAAGGAAGAGUGAAGGAGUUCCGAGAUGUUUCUCCGUCGUCCACUGCAAGAAUUCCCAAGCCUUCUUUACCAAACAUAAUCCUGCAAACAGAGUCUGCUUCUGAAGAAGCAGAUAAGAAAAGCAAUUUUGAUGAGGAGGAUAGACCAAAUAUUAGAGCUGGUUCAGUCCUGCGUCCACGUGCUGUCUUAUCUAGCCCUGGUAAUUUCCAUUUCUCGUUCAACUAUUUUGUUGUAAAUUCAUUGUUUGUUUUUCUUUCUAACAAUGUCAUAUCAUCUGCUAUAUCGCGUUCGGAACAUUAGAAUAAUCACACACAUUUGAAGGGAAUAGGUUGUUUGCAUUUGCUUCUGCUGCCACAUUAUCAUAAGCAUACCACAAAGGCCUCUAACUCUUGGCAAUUCCUAAUGUUGUGCUUAGACAAUGACACAAUGAUCGGAAAUAAAAACAGUGUGAAGGCUCCAAGACCUUCAGCUUUGAAGAAUCAUCAUUCCGUACAAAGUAGACAUGCACAAUGUAAGGUUGCCUCAAGUCAAGCCGUUGAUGACAGUCGUCUGAACACUAGGAAGUCCAAGGACACUACCGAUACUAAUCUUAAAGGAAAGAAAUGGUCAACUACUGCAAUAUCAAGCCGGAGAAGAAAUAUUACAACUGAUAAACCAAGAUCUGUAAGAAUCUCAUAGUUUGGUUUGUAGUUAAGUUAUCAAUAACGUGAGCUUUUUUGUUUCCUUGGGAAUGCGACGAAUUACGCGUCUUCUGUAUGAAAAAAGAAUAUAUGAAGAGGCAAUACUAGUGCAGCAUUAUCUUCCUGUUAUAACUUUGUCUUUAUUUACUUGAAUAUUCAAGCUUUCUACUUGCCUUUUUAGAGUU